GGCAAAUUAAAAACAAAGGAGGACUAAACAGUAAAUAACAUUUGCGUAUGAUCUAUAUGAAGAUGUGCUGUGCUAGGGGGCAAUACAGGCUGUGAGCCUGUGGAAUUGGUCUGUCGUUAGAGAUAUGCUAAGCACUCAAGAUUAACAUGUUAAGCAGGCUGCCCGUACCUACUAUAUGGUGGGUCACCUGUUUAUGGUAUCACAGGCUGUAUGUGUGGGAACAUGUAUGAAUAGAGCUUCUGGGCAUCCUAUCAGUAAUGUAAGAGGGCCCAGCAGUACAAGUACCAACCGGU